GAUGUGGAUCUUUAUUGUUUCACUUUUGUUGCAUUCAUUAAUUUCAGCAAAAAUAUCAACCAGUAUUCAUGUCAGAAUCGGACGCAUUCAUCAGUUAUAACCACAGGUUGACUAGAGACGCAGAGUUCCGUGAAAAUCAAUUAAAGCAUUCUGUGAGAAUCAAUCAGCUACAUGGAAUUUACAAUAAAGAGUAUCAUACAUUAUUGCCUAUAAAUUGUCCUCUGUAUCUUUUAUAUCAGUAAAGAUUAUGUGAAUAUAUGUGCAUUCUUCUUUUCCUCCAGAGAGCCAGUUUUUAAACAUUUAGCAGCACAGCAUGGCCAUCAUCCACCUCCUAUGUGGGCUUUGCUAAAAUGUUCACCAAAGAAAACUGGAGUCUCAAGAAAAAGAGUAGGAGCUCCCAUUGUGGUUCAGCGGGUUAUGAAUCUGACGAUGUCUCUGUGGGGAUGCAGAUUCAAUUCCUGGCCUCAUUCAGUGGGUUAAGGAUCCAGCAUUGCCGCAAGCUUCGGCAUAGGUCACAGAUGCAGCUCAGAUCCAGUGUGGCUGUGGCUGUGAUGUAGGCUGACACCUGCAGCUCCAAUUCAACUCCUGGCCUGGGAACCUCCCUAUGCUGCAAGUGCAGCCAUAAAAAGAAAAAGAGUAAAACAGAUUUGCAAGAAGCAUCAGGAAUGACAGGGAAUAGAGAUCAAUCCCCAAAGCCUCUGGAUUUCCAGCUCUCUACUCCGGUUCUUCCUGGAGUCUCACGUCCAUCUCCAUUCCCAAAACACCACGGCAUCUACCUUUGGAAGGUACUUUUUUUUCACCUUUAAAUGUUUCUGAAUUCAGGAUGCAUUUUACAGUCAAUGUGUUUGUAGUGAGUGCUGUGGUAUUCUGCACAGACACUCUCUUCAGGGCCAAAGCACUCGCCCCCCAUCUGCUGGAAAAUGGGGGCACCUGGCAGCUGCCUCCUUCACUGGGUACAGACCCAGGCUGCAGAGAACUGCUGCAGCCAAGGUUACAUUUCCUCUUGGGGAGGGGGGAUGCCCACAACCACUGACUGACUGGAGAUUCCAAAGCCCAGCUCCAUUGCCUCAACUUAGGACAACUCUAAAGGGCUGUUCUAGCUCCAGAGCUUCCCAAGGACCACAGGGAAUCUUAGUUGCAACUUGUUUGCGGUUGAGCUUCUUCCUUUGCCAAAUCCUGCCUUCCUCAUUUCCUAACAGAUAAUUCUCCAAGAGCCGUCUCCAGGAAACCACAAACACAUGCAUGCAGAGAAGAGAAAUGUUUUGACUGGUAGACAUAGGUAUCGUGGUUCAGUUGUUAGGAGACUCUUAAAUUGGCCUGCUAGAAUUCUGUUUGUUUGUGUUUUAAUUUUAUGGCUGCACCUGAGAUAUACUCCAGUUCCAGGGCCAGGGGCUGAAUCCAAGCUAUAGCUGCAACCUACACCACAGCUGUGGCAAUGCCAGAUCCUUAACCCAGUGCUCUGGUCAGGGAUGGAAACUGCACCUCCACAAUGACCUGAGCCGCUGAAAUCAGAUUCUUAACCCACUGCGCCACAGCAGGAACUCCUGGCCUGCUAGUUUUUACAUCAGUCAUUUUUGUGACUAUGGUGAUCCAGUUACUCCAGACCCUGACACUAAUCUGGUGCCACAAGUAAAAUGGAAGUUAAGGAUGCUAAAAGCUGAGAAGCAGAGCUUGGAUCCUGGUAGGUUUGUAAAUAUCAAUGGCCUUGAGAAGAUCAGGUUGAGAGACCAGUGGACAAUUCCCACUUAGAUCUUUUUCUCUUGAACUUUCCCAGUGAUCAGAUGAGGGGGUCAGGCCAUCUACCACCCCAGUCCCCAUUCCUACUUUCUUGAAUUAUUGGCUACUCUAUUUUAUUUGUCCCAAAGCUUUUGUACUGUUUUAUUGGUGGGGCAUGUAAAAUGAAUAAAAUAAAGAGUGAGUACCUGGGAGUUCCCACCGUGGCUCAGUGGUGAAGAACCCGAUGAGUAUCCAUGAGGAUGCAGGUUGGAUCCCUGGCCUUGCUCAGUGGGUUAAGGAUCCACCGUUGUUGCAAGCUGCAGUGUAGGUAACAGAUGUGGCUCAGAUCUGGUGUUGUCCUGACUGUGGCAUAGGCCAGCAGCUCCAGCUCCAGUUGGACCCUUAAUUCAGGAACUUCCAUAUGCGCAAGCGCAGCAAAAAAAAAAAAAAAAAAAAAAAAGAGUACAGUGCCAUGUGCAACAACAUGGAUGGACCUAGCAUAUAUUAUGCUUAGUGAAAUAAGUCAGAGAAAGACAUAUACAUACACGUUUGUAUGUAUAUGUUUUCAUUUACAGGUGGAAUCUGGAAAAGAAAAUGAAUGAAUAUUACAAAAUAGAAACAGACUCACAGAUAUAGAGAACAAACCAUUGGUUACAGUGUGGAGAGGGAAGGGGGAGGAAUCAUUUAAGGGGAAGAGGAUUAAGAGAUACAAACUAAUAGGUACAAAAUUUAAAAAGCUACAAGCAUAUACUGUACAGCACAGGGAAUAUGGCCAAUGUUUUAUGAUAACAUUAAAUCAAGUAUUAUCUUUAAAAAUAUUGAAUCACUAUGUUGAAACUGGUAUAAUAUUGUAAACCAAUUAUACUUCAAUUUUUUAAAAUAAAUGAAAAAUGAAUUAUAAUUUUUAAACUUUAAAAAUUAAUUAAAAGAGUCAGGAGGGGAAAAAAAAUCAAGAUUAGGAAUGAGGAAGAAAAAAAAAAAACAAGGACACAAAAAGUGUUAAAGGAAAUAUGGGAAAUCCUACCUGCAGCUCAAUGGAAAUAAAUCUGAAACCCAAACUAUAGGGGUGAUUUCCUAGCAAAAAUCUAAGCUACUGAAAUUGUUCAACAAAAAGUAGAAAACUGAAAUAAGCAAUUAGAAUAGUGAGAAAGAAGAGGUGAUUGUAGAUUUUCCUUUUUUUUUUUUUUUCUUUUUAGGGCCACGCCCACAGCCUAUGGAAGUUCCCAGGCUAGGGGUCUAAUUGGAGCUGCAGCUGCUGGUCUAUGCCACAGUCACAGCAACCCUAGAUUCAAUCCACAUCUGUGACCUACACAACAGCUUGCAGCAAUGCCAGAUCCUUAACCCACCGAUCGAGCCCAGGAAUCAAACCCGCAUCCUCAUGGAUACUAGUUGCAUUCUUAACCCACUGAGCCACAAUGGGAACUCCAUGGAUUUUCCAUUUUAAAAGGCACUAGAUUCAGAUGCUUUCACUGCUAAGAUCCAUGUAAUCUUUUUCCCCCCUUGGCCACACCUGCAGCAUGCAGAAGUUCCUGGGCCGGUUAUGGAACCUAUGCCACAGCAGCAACCCAAGCCACCGCAGUGACAACACCGCAUCCCUAACCACUGCACCACAUGAGAACUCUGAGAUCCAUGUAAUCUUUAAACAACAGAUAACUCAGACUUUCUGGUCUCAGAAGCCCUUUCUAUUUGUAAAAACUCUUGAGGACUACAGAAAGUCUUUGUUUAUGUGAUUAUGAUUAUCAAUAUUUAUCAUACUAAAAAUUAAAACAGAAAAAAAAUCUCAAAUUAUUAAUUCACUUCAAAAUAACAAUGACAGGAGUUCCCAUAAUGGCUUAGUGGAAACGAAUCUGAUUAGUAUCCAGGAGGACACAAGUUCAAUCCCUGGCCUCUCAGUGGGUGAAGGAUCUGGCGUUGCUGUGAGCGAGGUCAGGGAUCAAACCUACAUCCUCAUGGAUACUAGUCAAAUUCAUUUCUGCUGAGCCAUGACGGGAACUUCUAUCUUGAACUUAAAUGGAUCUUUUACUUCUGCAGGAUUUUGUAACAUCACGUAUUGGUCGUCUGGAAGAUAUUAGUUCACUAAUUUAUGCAGAUCUUCCAAAUAUUGACACACUAUAUUACAUAUUUUUAAAAUCACAUGGAUUAAUAUCACCUCCUCCAUUUCCUUAGAAAAGCCUUUUAAUUAUAGGAAAGACAUUAAGCUCAUGGUGGCAGAUACAAUUUACUAAUUGUAAAAUGCUAAUUUUUACUGAAAGCUCACAUUUUAUCUCUAGCAACAAAUAUUGUCAGUUCUUUGCAUUCAGUGACAGGCUCCCUUUGUUCAUUUGCCAAAAAAAAAAAAAAAAAACCUCCCAAAUACCCUUAUCUGAAUAACCACAUUCCAUUUAUUGGUCAUUCUCUAAGUAAAAGUAGUACGCCAUGAAAAAAAAAGAGCUAGUUCAGCCUGCAGUUUAAACAUUGCACUUGCUCUUCCUAAAACCGACCAUCAGAUUUCAGUAUGCAAAGAAGUGCUUUAUGUGUACUUCCUGUUUCAUCUCACAGAAUAUUAAAAAGAUGCCUACUCAUGUGGCAAGAGUUGGUAAAAUUAAUCAUUUUUACUGCUUUAUUAAGAACUUUUUAACUGAAGCUGGCUUUUGUGUGAGUGAGAGAGUGCUCAGGAAUGAACAACCCAAACAGUGGUGCAGUUUUGAGCCACUGCUUUUAUUCAUGCCCCUGCAUCAGUGAACUUACCAUUGCUUUUUACCUUCAAUGCAAAUUUGACUUCUCCAAAAGUAGUAUAAAAAUUCCAUGAGUCACUUAGGCUUUUUAUGGAGUGGGAUUUCAUACAAGGAGAAAAUUAUCUUAAAGGUCCUAUGGAAGUAAACAUGUCCAAUAAUGGUCACAAAAAUGGUGAAAAAGUGUAAUGGAUUUUUGUUUCUGGUCUGACAGACUAACUGCUACACAAAGUGCUGUCUCACCAUAAACAAUUAGGAAAACAGGCAAAAUAUAUGCCGCAACAGUUUUUCACAGAUUGGACAAGCAGCAGCCAAGGGCUGAAAUUCCUAAGAAAAGGGAAACCAAUGAGGUCAUCCCUAGCUCUGGAAUAUUCCUUGGAGGCAGUUUCCAGGAUACAGCACAGGUACAGGACAUGCAAGCAGAACCCAGCAGUCUCAGUGAGUUGAGGCAAAGAAUUCUUGGAAACUAAGGAAGCUUCAUUUGUGGGGCAGAAUCUGGAAGAGAAGUUUUGAGGGGGAGAUCUUAAGAAAUCUGCAGAGAAGUGUCUUCAAAUCAUGGGCUGACACUGACCUGCAUAUGUUUAGAUGAAACU
rnacentral:lncRNA from 1 species